rnacentral:miRNA from 1 species
UGACUAGACUGAUAACCAGCUC